rnacentral:rRNA from 1 species
GAUGAACGCUGGCGGCGUGCCUAAUACAUGCAAGUCGAGCGAACAGAUGAGGAGCUUGCUCCUCUGACGUUAGCGGCGGACGGGUGAGUAACACGUGGAUAACCUACCUAUAAGACUGGGAUAACUUCGGGAAACCGGAGCUAAUACCGGAUAAUAUAUUGAACCGCAUGGUUCAAUAGUGAAAGACGGUUUUGCUGUCACUUAUAGAUGGAUCCGCGCCGCAUUAGCUAGUUGGUAAGGUAACGGCUUACCAAGGCAACGAACCGUAGCCGACCUGGAAGGGGGAUCGGCCACACUGGAACUGGGACACGGUCCAGACUCCUACGGGAGGCAGCAGUAGGGAAUCUUCCGCAAUGGGCGAAAGCCUGACGGAGCAACGCCGCGUGAGUGAUGAAGGUCUUCGGAUCGUAAAACUCGGUUAUUAGGGAAGAACAAAUGUGUAAGUAACUAUGCACGUCUUGACGGUACCUAAUCAGAAAGCCACGGCUAACUACGUG